rnacentral:rRNA from 1 species
CCUACGGGAGGCAGCAGUGGGGAAUAUUGGGCAAUGGGCGCAAGCCUGACCCAGCAACGCCGCGUGAAGGAAGAAGGCUUUCGGGUUGUAAACUUCUUUUGAUAGGGAAGAGUAGAAGACGGUACCUGUCGAAUAAGCCAUGGCUAACUACGUGCCAGCAGCCGCGGUCAUACGGAGGUGGCAAGCGUUGUCCGGAUUUACUGGGUGUACAGGGCGUGUAGCCGGGUUGACAAGUCAGUUGUGAAAUCCUGCGGCUUAACCGAAGAACUGCAUUUGAAACUGGUGAUCUUGAGUACUGGAGAGGCAGGCGGAAUUCGUGGUGUAGCGGUGAAAUGCGUAGAUAUUAGGAGGAACACCAGUGGCGAAGGCGGUCUGCUGGACAGCAACUGACAGUGAGGCGCGAAAGCGUGGGGAGCAAACAGGAUUAGAUACCCCUGUAGUC